rnacentral:rRNA from 1 species
ACGAACGCUGGCGGCGUGCCUAAUACAUGCAAGUAGAACGCUGAAGAGAGGAGCUUGCUCUUCUUGGAUGAGUUGCGAACGGGUGAGUAACGCGUAGGUAACCUGCCUUGUAGCGGGGGAUAACUAUUGGAAACGAUAGCUAAUACCGCAUAACAAUGGAUGACCCAUGUCAUUUAUUUGAAAGGGGCAAAUGCUCCACUACAAGAUGGACCUGCGUUGUAUUAGCUAGUAGGUGAGGUAACGGCUCACCUAGGCGACGAUACAUAGCCGACCUGAGAGGGUGAUCGGCCACACUGGGACUGAGACACGGCCCAGACUCCUACGGGAGGCAGCAGUAGGGAAUCUUCGGCAAUGGGGGCAACCCUGACCGAGCAACGCCGCGUGAGUGAAGAAGGUUUUCGGAUCGUAAAGCUCUGUUGUAAGUCAAGAACGAGUGUGAGAGUGGAAAGUUCACACUGUGACGGUAGCUUACCAGAAAGGGACGGCUAACUACGUGCCAGCAGCCGCGGUAAUACGUAGGUCCCGAGCGUUGUCCGGAUUUAUUGGGCGUAAAGCGAGCGCAGGCGGUUUGAUAAGUCUGAAGUUAAAGGCUGUGGCUCAACCAUAGUUCGCUUUGGAAACUGUCAAACUUGAGUGCAGAAGGGGAGAGUGGAAUUCCAUGUGUAGCGGUGAAAUGCGUAGAUAUAUGGAGGAACACCGGUGGCGAAAGCGGCUCUCUGGUCUGUAACUGACGCUGAGGCUCGAAAGCGUGGGGAGCGAACAGGAUUAGAUACCCUGGUAGUCCACACGGUAAACGAUGAAUACUCGCUGUUUGCGAUAUACUGCAAGCGGCCAAGCGAAAGCGUUAAGUAUUCCACCUGGGGAGUACGCCGGCAACGGUGAAACUCAAAGGAAUUGACGGGGGCCCGCACAAGCGGUGGAGCAUGUGGUUUAAUUCGAAGCAACGCGAAGAACCUUACCAGGUCUUGACAUCCCGAUGCUAUUUCUAGAGAUAGAAAGUUACUUCGGUACAUCGGUGACAGGUGGUGCAUGGUUGUCGUCAGCUCGUGUCGUGAGAUGUUGGGUUAAGUCCCGCAACGAGCGCAACCCCUAUUGUUAGUUGCCAUCAUUCAGUUGGGCACUCUAGCGAGACUGCCGGUAAUAAACCGGAGGAAGGUGGGGAUGACGUCAAAUCAUCAUGCCCCUUAUGACCUGGGCUACACACGUGCUACAAUGGUUGGUACAACGAGUUGCGAGUCGGUGACGGCAAGCUAAUCUCUUAAAGCCAAUCUCAGUUCGGAUUGUAGGCUGCAACUCGCCUACAUGAAGUCGGAAUCGCUAGUAAUCGCGGAUCAGCACGCCGCGGUGAAUACGUUCCCGGGCCUUGUACACACCGCCCGUCACACCACGAGAGUUUGUAACACCCGAAGUCGGUGAUGUAACCUUUUGGAGCCAGCCGCCUAAGGUGGGAUAGAUGAUUGGGGUG